rnacentral:lncRNA from 1 species
AAAUAAAUUUGAACGAAACAAAUGUAAUAAUUUCAACUCUUUUUACAUGUUGUUAUUUAUAUUUUAAUUUUCUAUAAAAAUUGCUUCUAAACAUAUACCUCAUUUUCUAUUAAUGUUUUUAACUGUUUUCUUUGAAUGUGAUACUUAUAAUAUGGAUCUUCAUUAUAUCCAUCUCAAAAAAAAAAAAAAAACUAAUUAGUACUGAAAGAAAAAUAGAGCAUUCAAAUUUUAUGAAAUAAAUAAUUUCUAGCAAAAAUAAUAAUAACUUAAAUGCAAUAAAUUAAAUUGCGCACAGAGUGGUGAAUGGUGAUACUAGUUAGUUACUAACUAGUAUUCCUCCCGUGCUAUUCGCACGGGCUAAUUUCAAUAUCUUUUAAAUUAUCUAAUCACAAAAGUUUAGAUAUUCUAGUAAUUUAUAUAAAAUUUAAAUUUAGUUAAUAUUUUCUUAGUCUAUAUAAUGUUAUACAUAAAUUUAGAAGUGGCUAGAAGCACCAAAACAAUUUCUAUGAUUUUGUUUUGAGAAAAAUGAAUACAUCAUACAUGUUUGGAAGCUUGUUUUUAUUAAAAUCAAUCUUUUCAUGUUUGCCACAUUCAAAACCAUAAUCAAUCUCAUUUCUGCUUAGUAUUCUUUUCAGACAAAAAAAUAGAGAAAAAAAAUAUAUUUUUUAAAAUGGAGAGAUGAAACAGUUACCUAGAGAAAUAGUUACUAAAGCCAUUUGUCUACGUGAGUGUGAGAAAAAUAAGGACUUUUGCAGUUAACUAAUAGUUGAAGUCAAUAAUUACGUAGUAGAAUUUUGAUUUACUUGAAUUUUGAAAAACAAUUACACAUGUCAAAAUCUUAUUGCUUGAGUGAGUUGUUCUUUAGUAUAUAAGUGAUGUUUUGUCUAUAAAUUACAAAAUUUAUUGAAUUGAUAUAUUUAAUUAUUGCACCCUUAAAAUAAUAUUUUAUUAAGACAUUAGAGAACUAUGUUUUGAGUUGUUUUGUCAAAAUUGUACAAAAAUCUAUGCUUUGUCAUAUAUGUCACGAAAAUUUAUAUGUUAAACUUACUUUUACAAAAUUCUUAACUUUGUCACGAAAACAAAAUCUAUGCUUUUUCAUAUUUUUCAAUGUUCUCACACUUUCAAAGAAUAUAUUAGCUUAGUCACUUACUUUUUUUUUUUACAAAAUAAAGUAUCGGAGUAUUGAAAGUUGAAUUCAUAUUAUUGUAAUUGUACAUAAGAGUUUGUGAUUACAUACUUAGUGAUUCUUGUAUAUGUGUUCAAGAAAGUUUCAAUGGCUUAGUGGUAACUGCCCUAUAUUUAUGUCGUACUAACCUGGAUUCGAUCCUUUCUUUCGCAUUGUUUUUCAUUUUUUACGAAAAAAUAAAUGAGAUGACGUGGCAACUUCGGGCUCUCUGAUUGGUUGAUUUUUCUAUCCUAUGUGGACACCCUCUCCAUGGCUUAUAUUUGUCUUUUAGUAUAGUAUAGAUUAUAUUUCAAAUAAGUACAUUUAUAUUGUAAGAAAGACUUACUUAAAUACAAAAAAAUAAAUUUGAACGAAACAAAUGUAAUAAUUUCAACUCUUUUUACAUGUUGUUAUUUAUAUUUUAAUUUUCUAUAAAAAUUGCUUCUAAACAUAUACCUCAUUUUCUAUUAAUGUUUUUAACUGUUUUCUUUGAAUGUGAUACUUAUAAUAUGGAUCUUCAUUAUAUCCAUCUCAAAAAAAAAAAAAAACUAAUUAGUACUGAAAGAAAAAUAGAGCAUUCAAAUUUUAUGAAAUAAAUAACUUUCUAGCAAAAAUAAUAAUAACUUAAAUGCAAUAAAUUAAAUUGCGCACAGAGUGGUGAAUGGUGAUACUAGUUAGUUACUAACUAGUAU